UGAAAGUGAAACUCAAUUUAAUCCACAUUGAUCCAGAGCUGAAUGGAGGAUAAAUGGUUGAGAUACAAACAGGCAGAUUUUUGCCUCAACAGAAGGAAAGAAAGAAGGAAGCAAACUAAAAAUAAGUACCCAUUAUAUUUGCUCCGUGUCUGGGUCUUUUGUGCUGUCUCAUUUUCAUUGAUUCUGAAAGCCAAGGCUUGAGAACUACGUGAAGAAUGCAGAAGCCUCAGGAGCCAACGCAAUCAACUGGAAGAAAGGGUAUCAGUGAUGGAAGACGAAAUGAAUGAAAUGAAGUGAGAAGGGAAGUUUAGAGAAAAAAGAAUAAAAAGAAAUGAACAAAGCCUCCAAGAAAUAUGGGACUAUGUGAAAAGACCAAAUCUAUGUCUUGUUGGUGUACCUGAAAGUGACAGGGAGAAUGGAAGCAAGUUGGAAAACACUCUGCAGGAUAUU
rnacentral:lncRNA from 10 species